GGGGGCGUGGCGGAAUGGUAGACGCUACGGACUUAAAAUCCGUUGACCGCAAGGUUGUAAGGGUUCAAGUCCCUUCGCCCCCA
rnacentral:tRNA from 1 species